rnacentral:rRNA from 1 species
CGAGUACGAGAUGCUACGGCAUCGAAGCAGUCUAUGUCAUACCUCCAAGAAAAGCUUGCACUGUCAUAAACAAAUAAUGCCUGUACCAUAACCGACACAGGUGGGUAGGUAGAGUAUACUAAGGGGCGCGAGAUAACUCUCUCUAAGGAACUCGGCAAAAUGACUCCGUAACUUCGGGAGAAGGAGUGCCUUAUUUAUAAGGUUGCAAUAACAAGAUCCAAGCAACUGUUUAUCAAAAACACAGGUCUCCGCUAAGUCGUAAGACGAUGUAUGGGGGCUGACGCCUGCCCAGUGCCAGAAGGUUAAAGAAGUUGGUUAGCAUUAGCGAAGCUGAUAACUGAAGCCCUGGUGAACGGCGGCCGUAACUAUAACGGUCCUAAGGUAGCGAAAUUCCUUGUCGGGUAAGUUCCGACCCGCACGAAAGGCGUAAUGAUUUGGAUACUGUCUCGGAGAGGGGCUCGGUGAAAUAGACUUGUCUGUGAAGAUGCGGACUACCUGCACCUGGACAGAAAGACCCUAUGAAGCUUUACUGUAACUUGAAAUUGAAAUUGGACUUUAUUUGCGCAGCAUAGGUGGGAGGCGUUGAAAAUAUUCUCGCGGGAAUAUUUGAGCCAUCAGUGAGAUACCACUCUUGUAAUGUUAGAUUUCUAACUUUGUAUCAUUAUCUGGUCAAAGAACAGUUUCAGGCGGGCAGUUUGACUGGGCGGUCGCCUCCUAAACGGUAACGGAGGCGCACAAAGGUUUCCUCUGAACGGGUAGAAAUCGUAUCUAGAGUGUAAAGGCAUAAGGAAGCUUGACUGUGAGACCCACAAGUCGAGCAGGGACGAAAGUCGGUCUUAGUGAUCUGACGGUGCUGAGUGGAAAGGCCGUCACUCAACGGAUAAAAGUUACUCUAGGAUAACAGGCUGAUCUCCCCCAAGAGUUCACAUCGACGGGGAGGUUUGGCACCUCGAUGUCGGCUCAUCGCAUCCUGGGGCGGUAGUACGUCCCAAGGGUUUGGCUGUUCGCCCAUGAAAGCGGUACGCGAGCUGGGUUCAGAACGUCGUGAGACAGUUCGGUCCAUAUCCGGUGUAGGCGUUAGAAUAUUGAGAGGAGCCUUCUUUAGUACGAGAGGACCGAGAAGGACAUGCCUCUGGUGUACCAGUUAUCGUGCCAACGGUAAACGCUGGGUAGCUAUGUAUGGAGAGGAUAACCGCUGAAAGCAUCUAAGUGGGAAGCCCACCUCAAGAUGAGUGCUCUCACAGGGUUAACCUGGUAAGGUCACGGGAAGACCACCCGUUAAUAGGCACUAGGUGGAAGUCCAGUAAUGGAUGGAGCCAAGGUGUACUAACAGACCGAGGGCUU